rnacentral:rRNA from 1 species
UCCUACGGGGGGCAGCAGUGGGGAAUAUUGCGCAAUGGGCGAAAGCCUGACGCAGCGACGCCACGUGAGGGAUGAAGGUCUUCGGAUCGUAAACCUCUGUCAGCAGGGAAGAACGGUCACUGUGCUAAUCAGCAGUGAAUUGACGGUACCUGCAAAGGAAGCACCGGCUAACUCCGUGCCAGCAGCCGCGGUAAUACGGAGGGUGCGAGCGUUAAUCGGAAUUACUGGGUGUAAAGGGAGCGUAGACGGAAAGGCAAGUCAGAAGUGAAAACCCAAGGCUCAACCAUGGGACUGCUUUUGAAACU